rnacentral:rRNA from 1 species
AUUGAACGCUGGCGGCAUGCCUUACACAUGCAAGUCGAACGGCAGCACGGGUGCUUGCACCUGGUGGCGAGUGGCGAACGGGUGAGUAAUACAUCGGAACAUGUCCUGUAGUGGGGGAUAGCCCGGCGAAAGCCGGAUUAAUACCGCAUACGAUCUACGGAUGAAAGCGGGGGACCUUCGGGCCUCGCGCUAUAGGGUUGGCCGAUGGCUGAUUAGCUAGUUGGGGGGGUAAAGGCCUACCAAGGCGACGAUCAGUAGCUGGUCUGAGAGGACGACCAGCCACACUGGGACUGAGACACGGCCCAGACUCCUACGGGAGGCAGCAGUGGGGAAUUUUGGACAAUGGGCGAAAGCCUGAUCCAGCAAUGCCGCGUGUGUGAAGAAGGCCUUCGGGUUGUAAAGCACUUUUGUCCGGAAAGAAAUCCUUGGCCCUAAUACGGUCGGGGGAUGACGGUACCGGAAGAAUAAGCACCGGCUAACUACGUG